CUCCUCUAAGGACUGCACCCAGAGAGUUUUCUGUACUCUACCAGUCUCAGAUAUGGGAGGAAGGGUCAAGCAGAGGCCUACCCAUUCCAUUCUUAGUUUGGCCAGUGGCUAGCGAGUGGAAGGCAAUCUGCCACAAGU
rfam:Ornithorhynchus anatinus chromosome 3, whole genome shotgun sequence.